GAUCAUGGCUCAGGAUGAACGCUAGCUACAGGCUUAACACAUGCAAGUCGAGGGGCAGCAUGACCUAGCAAUAGGUUGAUGGCGACCGGCGCACGGGUGAGUAACACGUAUCCAACCUACCGGUUAUUCCGGGAUAGCCUUUCGAAAGAAAGAUUAAUACCGGAUAGUAUAACGAGAAGGCAUCUUUUUGUUAUUAAAGAAUUUCGAUAACCGAUGGGGAUGCGUUCCACUAGUUUGUUGGCGGGGUAACGGCCCACCAAG
rnacentral:rRNA from 1 species